rnacentral:rRNA from 1 species
CAGAACGAACGCUGGCGGCAUGCCUAAUACAUGCAAGUCGAACGAACUCUUCGGAGUUAGUGGCGCACGGGUGCGUAACGCGUGGGGAUCUGCCCUUGGGUUCGGAAUAACAGGUUAGGAAACGACUGCUAAUACCGGAUGAUGACGAAAGUCCAAAGAUUUAUCGCCCAGGGAUG